CUUAUGAAGAAAGGAUGAGGGAGUGGCCCUUUGAUUCCUUGGCAACCUGUUUAACAUGGAUAAGGUGCCAAUUCCAACGGAUAUAUUCCGAUAGAUAAG
rnacentral:ncRNA from 1 species